GGGCCGGUGGUGGAAUUGGUAGACACGCUAGAUUUAGGUUCUAGUGCCGAAAGGUGUGAAGGUUCAAGUCCUUUCCGGCCUACCA
rnacentral:tRNA from 1 species